GCCCGGGUGGUGAAACGGCAGACACGGGGGACUCAAAAUCCUCUGCCCUCACGGGCGUGCGGGUUCAACUCCCGCCCCGGGCA
rnacentral:tRNA from 2 species